rnacentral:lncRNA from 1 species
GAAAGAAUUGGGGGUCAACCUAGACCUCUAUCGCCAAUGGGAGAAUUUAAUGAUUGCCUUAACAAUUGUGGCCUUGUGGAGAUGAGUGCACAUGGUAGAUGUAUGUCUUGGUGCAAUGGUCGAAGUGGUCAAGCAAUGAUGUGGGCUAAGUUAGAUAGGGUGAUGGUGAACUCGGUUCUCUUGAAUGAACAUAAUUUCUGUGAAAUGGAGUUCCUAGCAAGGAAAAGCUCUAAUCAUUGCCCCAUGUUAAUUCACUUUAGCAAGGCAUUCUUGAGGUAUGGUCCAUCUCCUUUUAGAUUCCAGAAUAUGUGGAGUACGCAUGAUACAUUCAAUCAGAUGGUUAUGGUAAUUUGGAAAGAACCAGAAAAUAGGGUGGGACUUUGGAAGUUGGCAGCUAAACUGAAAAAAGCUAAGCUUGCGUUGCGAAUCUGGAACAAACAAAUUUUUGGAUAUGUUACUCACCAUAUUAAAGAACUGGAAGAGAGAGUUGAGUUGCUGGAUAAUCAGUGGCAAAGUGGUUUUGACCCAAAUUUAGAGGCGGAAUUCCUUGAUACAAAGGCGGAGCUACAACUUUGGGAGAAAAGGGAAGAAACCAGAUUGGCACAAAAAGCAAAGAAGAAAUGGCUGGUUGAAGGAGACCAAAACUCGAAAUUUUUUCAUGCAGUGGUUAAUCAACGGAGAAAGUCUUCACAUAUCUCUUCUAUGCGACUAUCUGAUGGGAUAGUGUUAGCUUCGCCAGAAGAGGUUCAUAAUGGUGCUGUUAAAUAUUUUGAACAAACCUUGUGCGAGAAUGGGACAAGUGAACAAGGACAUCUGGCUUCCAUACUUUCAGCAGUUGUGUCAGCAGAGGAUAACGAUCUUUUAUGCGUGGAACCAACAGAAGAAGAGGUGAAGGAUGCAAUCUUUUCUAUACCAACAGAAAGCAGCCCCGGACCUGAUGGAUUUGGAUCUGGUUUUAUAUUUCGUGCUGGGACUUAGUGAAAGAUGACAUGGUGGAGGCAGCGAGAAAAUUUUUCAAGGGCAGUCCACUACCCAGAUUCUACACCUCUUUAUUCAUUGUCUUAAUUCCGAAAGUAGACCAACCUCGGAGUUUUGAUAAGUUCAGACCCAUUAGCCUAUGUUCAGUGGUCUACAAAGCUUUUUCAAAGAUCCUUGUCAAACGUUUGACACGGGUGCUCCCAAAGAUUGUAUCUCCUGAACAAGGAGUGUUCAUCCCGGAUAGAAGUAUUUUUGAGAACAUCACGCUUACACAGGAAAUGGUCCAUUCUUUAAACAGGAAAACCAUAGGUGGCAAUGUUAUGCUAAAAAUCGACAUGACAAAGGCUUAAGACCGAGUAGUUUGGAGGUUUUUACUGUGAGUGCUUGAAGGCUUUGGCUUCUCUAGAAGGUUUUGUAACUUGGUAUCUCAGUGUGUUACAACUCCUUGGUUUUCAAUUAUGAUGAAUGGAACUUAUAAGGUUUCUUCCAAUCUAGCAGAGGGCUCCCACAAGGCGAUCCUUUGUCUCCUUAUUUGUUCAUCAUUAUGGAAGAGGUUUUAACACGUCUUUUACGCAAGAGGUUUGAAGAUGGCAGCAUUGGGAGGUUCUAUCACCCUGUUGGGGCCCCUUUGGUCUCCCAUCUACUAUAUGUCCACGAUGUAGUAGUGUUCGUGAAUGGAGGUAGUAAAUCUAUAAAAAUGCUCAUGAAGACACUGAAUACAUAUGAAAAGUGGUCGGGGCAAUUGAUCAAUACUGAGAAAUCGGCUAUUUUCUUUUCAAGAAGGAUUAGCUACAAAAGAAAGAGGAACUUGCUUCGACAUACUGGUUUUACUGAAGGGCAGUUCCCAGUGGUCUACUUAGGGGUGCCCAUCACCUCUGGUCAUCUUACAGCUAGGCAUUUAGAGACUUUGGUAGCCAAAAUUCGAACCAAAAUAGCAGGCUGGAAAAUGAGACUACUAUCUCAAGGAGGUCGACUUAUUUUAAUCCGACAUGUUCUGACAUGUAUGGCAAUACAUUUGUUAGCAGUGGUAAAUGUUCCGAAGAUAACUCUCAACAACAUAAACUCCUUAUUAUCUACUUUUUUCUGGGGUGAGAGUAAUGGUAAACAGAAAAAGAAUUGGCGUGCUUGGUCUAAAGUAUGUAUGCCAACUAUAGAGGAUGGACUUGGGGUACGGGAUUUUGUUACAAUUCAACGAUCCCUCCAUAUGAAACUUGCAUGGCGACUUAUGACGAGUAAUAGUUUGUGGUCCAGUUUUAUCCAUAGCAAAUACGUAAAGAACGGUCACCUUUUGGUCAACUCUAACACCAGUGGAUCAAGCUUGUGGAAAUCAACCGUAAAGGUGCUACCUGAGGUGUAUGAAAAUUCAAAAUGGAAGAUCAAAGAUGGGUCAGCUUCAUUUUGGUAUGAUCGCUGGUUAGCUAGUGGCCCAUUAAAUGAGCAGGUCUUGGAGGUAACCAACCCAAGACUGAAGGUUAGAGACUGCUAGAUUGAAGAUGGUUGGGAUCUCACCCAUCUUCAAGCGCUAGUGGGGGAUAAAGGCAGAGGAAAUUGUACAAACCAUUGGUGCCAAAAAAGAAGGAUGUGAUAUUAUCAUAUGGAAGGUGAACGAUAAUGGAGAAUUCUCCACUUCAAGCGCCUGGGAUAUUUUAAGGGUGAAGAGUUCAGAGAUUCCUUGGAUGAAAUGGAUAUGGCAUAAAUUUCUACCAAAAAAAAUUUCUGUUUGUAUGUGGAAGGCGAAGUUUGGCUGCUUAAGUGUGGAUACUAAGGUGAGAUCAACAGGAAUUGCUCUAGCUUCACGCUGUGAUUGUUGUGAGAAGGGACAAGUGGAAACACUUGAUCAUGUACUUAACUUUGGGGAUAUUGCUACGACAGUUUGGAAGUGGGCAUCUUUAGCCUUGGGUCUGCACUAUAUGGGGCCACAAUCUUGGUGGACAAGAGUCCAUAGAUGGUUCACAUGCGCAAAAAAUGCCUCACAACGUGGAAUUCUAAUUGGGCUAUUACCAAGCUUGAUAACAUGGAAACUAUGGGGACGGCGAUGUAAGGCACGUAUGGAAGAGAUUCGAGAAUCUGCGGAGGAGGUAUGGUUUAAAAUAAAGGUUUGGUUGCACCUCUUAGCUGAAGAAAUUGUCAAAGUCUCAAAACUAAGUAAAAUAGACAAUGAACUCCUCAAAGCCUUAGAGGUGCUUAUGAGUUCGAAGACGAGUAAACCAACCCUCUUUGUUUCUUGGAGGAAACCUGCUGAUGGUUGGGUAAAACUUAAUAUUGAUGGGAGUAGUCUUGGUAAUUCGGGACCUUGUGGAGGUGGGGGAGUUAUUAGGGAUCAUCAUGGUAAUAUGAUUGCUGGCUUCUCUGCCCCCAUACGGAUUUGGAAGUAACAAUGAAGCAGAGUUGCGUGCUGUGAUAACUGGUGUAGAGCUAUGUAAAGAGAUGGGCUUCCAACAGGUGGAAAUUGAGUGUGACUCAGCUGUUGUGGUAAACUGGUUAACAAACAGUUCAUGUAGGAUUUGGUAUUUGUGGGAUUAUUGGGAGGAGUUACUAAAAUUACUUGAUGGAAUCAGUUUUACCAUUUCUCACCAAUAUAGAGAAGCAAACAGAGCCGUAGACUUUCUAGCCAGACAAGGGGCGGAUGGUAUCACGAUGACUUACAUGCACAUAGAUAAAAUACCAAAUUAGUUAAGAGGUAUUAUUCGUACGGAGAAACUUGGUUUUCCAAAUAUUAGGCAAUAAUUGUUAGGUUGAUGUGUGUAACUAGAUGGGUUGAUUAGUUCUACAUGGCUUGUUUGGAUCUUUUGUUGCUUUGUUAUUUUGACCCCAUGGUAUUCCUCCGCCAUAAGUGAGGACGAUUGAAUAAAGUUCUUGUUUUAAAAAAAAA